GGAUUGAAUGGGCGCAGCCUGAUCCAGCAAUGCCGCGUGCAGGAUGAAGGCCUUCGGGUUGUAAACUGCUUUUGUACGGAACGAAACGGUCUGCCCUAAUACGGUGGGCUAAUGACGGUACCGUAAGAAUAAGCACCGGCUAACUACGUGCCAGCAGCCGCGGUAAUACGUAGGGUGCGAGCGUUAAUCGGAAUUACUGGGCGUAAAGCGUGCGCAGGCGGUUAUGUAAGACAGAUGUGAAAUCCCCGGGCUCAACCUGGGACCUGCAUUUGUGACUGCAUAGCUAGAGUACGGUAGAGGGGGAUGGAAUUCCGCGUGUAGCAGUGAAAUGCGUAGAUAUGCGGAGGAACACCGAUGGCGAAGGCAAUCCCCUGGACCUGUACUGACGCUCAUGCACGAAAGCGUGGGGAGCAAACAGGAUUAGAUACCCUGGUAGUCCACGCCCUAAACGAUGUCAACUGGUUGUUGGGUCUUCACUGACUCAGUAACGAAGCUAACGCGUGAAGUUGACCGCCUGGGGAGUACGGCCGCAAGGUUGAAACUCAAAAAAAUUGACGGA
rnacentral:rRNA from 1 species